CUGGGCUCAAGCAAUCCUUCCGCUUCAGCCUCUCGAGUAGCUGGGACCACAGGCCUGCACCACUGCAUCUGGCUACUUGCUGAUUUUUCAAGACUUGGCUCAGGAGGCGUUUCCUCCAGGAAGUUUUCCCUGUGCUCCCAUAGAACCUGCAGCCUUUCCACCAUGGAAAGCAAGAUGGCUCUCUCAGCCUUUCCACCAUGAUGCAGCAAGAAGGCUCUCACCAAUUGUCCUUGAUCUUACAGCUGCCAGCCUCCAGAACAAUAUCUGUCUCUGGAGGAACUUUGACUUUAUUUCCCACAAG